AGGACGAACGCUGGCGGCGUGCUUAACACAUGCAAGUGGAGCGACGAACCAGGGCUUGCCCUGGGGCAGAGCCGCGAACGGGUGAGUAACACGUGGGUUACCUGCCUCGAUGACCGGGACAACCCGAGGAAACUCGGGCUAAUACCGGAUGUGCCCGCAAGGGGAAAGGAAGCUUCGGCCUCCGCAUCGAGAUGGGCCCGCGGCCCAUUAGCUUGUUGGUGAGGUAAUGGCUCACCAAGGCUUCGAUGGGUAGCUGGUCUGAGAGGACGAUCAGCCACACUGGGACUGAGACACGGCCCAGACUCCUACGGGAGGCAGCAGUGGGGAAUCUUGCGCAAUGCGCGAAAGCGUGACGCAGCAACGCCGCGUGGGGGAAGAAGGCUUUCGGGUUGUAAACCCCUUUCAGUUGGGACGAAGCUUCUCCGGUGAAUAGCCGGACGGAGUGACGGUACCUUCACAAGAAGCACCGGCUAACUACGCGCCAGCAGCCGCGGU
rnacentral:rRNA from 1 species